GAUGAACGCUAGCGGCAGGCUUAAUACAUGCAAGUCGAGGGGUAGCAAGAUUGUAGCAAUACAAUUGUUGACGACCGGCAAACGGGUGCGGAACACGUACACAACCUUCCUACAAGUGGGGAAUAGCCCAGAGAAAUUUGGAUUAAUACCCCGUAACAUAGCGAUGUGGCAUCACAUUGCUAUUAUAGCUUCGGCGCUUGUUGAUGGGUGUGCGGAUGGUUAGAUAGUUGGCGGGGUAACGGCCCACCAAGUCUACGAUCAGUAGCUGAUGUGAGAGCAUGAUCAGCCACACGGGCACUGAGACACGGGCCCGACUCCUACGGGAGGCAGCAGUAAGGAAUAUUGGACAAUGGACGCAAGUCUGAUCCAGCCAUGCCGCGUGAAGGAUUAAGGUCCUCUGGAUUGUAAACUUCUUUUAUAAGGGACGAAAAAAGGUCUUUCUAGAUCGUCUGACGGUACCUUAUGAAUAAGCACCGGCUAACUCCGUGCCAGCCGCCGCAGUAAGAC
rnacentral:rRNA from 1 species